GUUUUUUGUUUUUUGUUUUUGGAUGGGGAUCAUUUUUGUUUUGUUUUGCUCUAGGUUUGGCUGUACUUGUAAUACCAGCAUUUGGAAAGGCUGCGAUGGAUCUGGGCAAGCUGGCUAGCCAGACUAGCCAAAUUGUUAGAAUUGGCAAUCUCCAAGUUUAGAAAGAGACCCUACCUCAACAAAUAAAUUGGAACAUAAAAAAAAAAAAAAACAGUGUCAAUUUAGCCCUCCAUACUCAUAAACACAGACAUACCCACACAUGCAAACAAAUACACAUGCACAUGUAACAUACACACACAUACACAGUCAUAAAUAGAUAAGUAAAUAAAUAAAUAAUAAAUAGUUCUUUUUUCUUACACAAUAUUUCCAUGUAUUUUUGCCAGGUCUAUAACUUCAUCUACCCUGGAAGUUAGAAAAAAUUGUGUGUGUGUGUGUGUGAAGCUUUUGAAGGAAGCAUAGGGAAGUCUGCUUGUUUUUGCUCAGGUUGCUAUAACCAAGUACUUAGACAAUACACACACACACACACACACACACACACACCAGAUGUUCUUCUUUCACAGCUCUGGAGACUGAAGGUCCAAUAUCAGGGUGACAGCAGAACGUUUGGUUGAGGUCCAGCAAAGCUUUCUCAGUUCCAGUUCUGUUACCUGCUGGCUGCAUCCCUGUGUGGCUAGGAGAACAUCAAUCUUGUCAUGGGGUCUCUAUCCUCAGACCUGACCACCUCCCAAAGGCUUCACUCCCAAAACCAUCUAGUUAGGAGUUAGGGGAAGCAUUGCAAAACCAUACACUUAUAACUGUUUAAUGUCUCUAGGAGCGAACAUUAGCAGAAAGUGGAAUUCCCACUGGAUCCUCCCAGGACAGAGGAGGGAAGAAUGGGAUUAGCCAGAAAACCGGAACUGCUCAGGACAGCAGUGCUGUGUGGUUUAUAGCAAGCAUUCUCCUGCUGGCUGGAGAGACCUGUGUUUCUGAGUUCCAGUCCUUGAGCAAGUCAUACCUGUAUUUUAAAAAGAGAUUUUAUUACUAGAAUUUUUCUACUGCCUCACGUGCACACUUGGAAGUUUCCCAUCCGGCUCCUGGGAAAUCAAGAAGGAAAGCAUUUCUACAACAGUCGUUCCCUUUGGCCUAUGCUGACAGUUACAGAAAACCUGGUGUCAACUAGUCUUUUUUCUAAAUGGCACUUUCUUAAUGGCCCAAGAUUAGAAAACAUAGAACAAUAUAGACUUCCUUAUCGCCAGCCCCCAAGUCUGUCUGGUCGAGUCCCUGGAAGGAAGGCUUUGCUGAAUGGAUUGGAGUGGAAAGCCAGAGUGUGUAAUUUACAUGCAAGUAUGCCCAAGGUCUAUAGGUUCACAAUUGUUCCUCAAAAGAACAGUCACCCAGUUAGAGUUGUAUGCCUUCCUCCUCCUUCUUCCAUGCUGUGGGUUUGGUUCGUUUGGUUUGUUUGUCUGUCAGGAGUUACAUUGGACAGUUGGUCCUAAGAAUAACAGUAUUAGGAAGAACUUUGAAACCCCCCAGAGGUAAGCUCUAUUGGAGAGACCAUUGGGGUGCUUGGGAGCAAGAUAUGAUCAUUCUUUCAAGAGGAUUGUUACAAAAACAGCAAGCCUGGCUUCACUCAGCUCUGUGUACAUUCUGGUUUGAAAUGAGAUCUGCUGGCUUCAGUCUGUGCUUCUGCCAUGCUGCAAAGCAAGGGACAGCCUCCUGCCAGGCAUGUGCUGUGCCAUUUUGGACUUAGAACCUCUAAACCUCUAAGGUAGAACCUCUAACUCUAAGCUCUUUUCUUCAUAUGUAGCCUAUCAGGUAUUUCAUGUAGUGACAAAAAAUGUUGAGUAUAGCAUUUCCCUGCUGAAAACCAAAUAUAAUAGAGAUGCUUAAAAGCCGAGGGCUGUAGCUAUAGUGUAGUACUUGCUCUGCAUGCAAAAGGCCCACAGCUCAACCUGUGUCUGCCCCAUCUCCCAACACUGAAAACCAUCUUACCCAAACCCCAUUCUUUGGAAACACUUUAGCAAGUUGGUUUUCAAUGAGAAUAAAGUUUAUUUAAUCUGUGAAAAGCAAAAACUAAAAUUCUACAAAACAACAGGAAAAAAAAAAUCUGCCUGGAAGCAAACCUUCUCUUCCCUGUUGCUGCUGCUGCUGCUAUUGUUUUGUUGAUGGUUCUCAGGACUGAUAACAUGGGGUCUUGAACAUACUAGGCAACUGCUCUUCCACUGAGCUGUAUCUCCAGCCUGAAAGAAAGAUUAAUUACAGUAACAGGGCAUGCUGGCACAUGACUUUAAGCACUCAGCAGAAGCUCUGAGGCCAGCCUAGUCUACACAGAGUUCUAAGUCAGCCAGUGCUAUAUAGUGAGAUCCUGUCAUUACAGCAAAUAUGAAACAUUAAAUAUGAAACAAAUAUGAAAAAUUAAACUGCCUGUAUGUUACAACAUAUAUUUCAUUUGCUGAAUGCUAAUAAACAUCUGUGCUCAUGAGGG
rnacentral:lncRNA from 1 species